rnacentral:tRNA from 1 species
GAGAGUAUAGCUCAGUGGCAGAGCACAUGCCUAACAUGCAUGAGGUCCCGGGUUCAAUUCCCAGGAUCUCC